UUGUAUGAGAGUUUGAUCCUGGCUCAGGAUGAACGCCGGCGGUGUGCCUAAUACAUGCAAGUCGAACGCGUUGGCCCAAUUGAUUGAUGGUGCUUGCACCUGAUUGAUUUUGGUCGCCAACGAGUGGCGGACGGGUGAGUAACACGUAGGUAACCUGCCCAGAAGCGGGGGACAACAUUUGGAAACAGAUGCUAAUACCGCAUAACAGCGUUGUUCGCAUGAACAACGCUUAAAAGAUGGCUUCUCGCUAUCACUUCUGGAUGGACCUGCGGUGCAUUAGCUUGUUGGUGGGGUAACGGCCUACCAAGGCGAUGAUGCAUAGCCGAGUUGAGAGACUGAUCGGCCACAAUGGGACUGAGACACGGCCCAUACUCCUACGGGAGGCAGCAGUAGGGAAUCUUCCACAAUGGGCGCAAGCCUGAUGGAGCAACACCGCGUGAGUGAAGAAGGGUUUCGGCUCGUAAAGCUCUGUUGUUAAAGAAGAACACGUAUGAGAGUAACUGUUCAUACGUUGACGGUAUUUAACCAGAAAGUCACGGCUAACUACGUGCCAGCAGCCGCGGUAAUACGUAGGUGGCAAGCGUUAUCCGGAUUUAUUGGGCGUAAAGAGAGUGCAGGCGGUUUUCUAAGUCUGAUGUGAAAGCCUUCGGCUUAACCGGAGAAGUGCAUCGGAAACUGGAUAACUUGAGUGCAGAAGAGGGUAGUGGAACUCCAUGUGUAGCGGUGGAAUGCGUAGAUAUAUGGAAGAACACCAGUGGCGAAGGCGGCUACCUGGUCUGCAACUGACGCUGAGACUCGAAAGCAUGGGUAGCGAACAGGAUUAGAUACCCUGGUAGUCCAUGCCGUAAACGAUGAGUGCUAGGUGUUGGAGGGUUUCCGCCCUUCAGUGCCGGAGCUAACGCAUUAAGCACUCCGCCUGGGGAGUACGACCGCAAGGUUGAAACUCAAAGGAAUUGACGGGGGCCCGCACAAGCGGUGGAGCAUGUGGUUUAAUUCGAAGCUACGCGAAGAACCUUACCAGGUCUUGACAUCUUGCGCCAACCCUAGAGAUAGGGCGUUUCCUUCGGGAACGCAAUGACAGGUGGUGCAUGGUCGUCGUCAGCUCGUGUCGUGAGAUGUUGGGUUAAGUCCCGCAACGAGCGCAACCCUUGUUACUAGUUGCCAGCAUUAAGUUGGGCACUCUAGUGAGACUGCCGGUGACAAACCGGAGGAAGGUGGGGACGACGUCAGAUCAUCAUGCCCCUUAUGACCUGGGCUACACACGUGCUACAAUGGACGGUACAACGAGUCGCGAACUCGCGAGGGCAAGCAAAUCUCUUAAAACCGUUCUCAGUUCGGACUGCAGGCUGCAACUCGCCUGCACGAAGUCGGAAUCGCUAGUAAUCGCGGAUCAGCAUGCCGCGGUGAAUACGUUCCCGGGCCUUGUACACACCGCCCGUCACACCAUGAGAGUUUGUAACACCCAAAGUCGGUGGGGUAACCUUUUAGGAGCCAGCCGCCUAAGGUGGGACAGAUGAUUAGGGUGAAGUCGUAACAAGGUAGCCGUAGGAGAACCUGCGGCUGGAUCACCUCCUUU
rnacentral:rRNA from 2 species